rnacentral:rRNA from 1 species
GGUCAAGUGAAGAAGCGCAUACGGUGGAUGCCUUGGCAGUCAGAGGCGAUGAAAGACGUGGUAGCCUGCGAAAAGCUUCGGGGAGUCGGCAAACAGACUUUGAUCCGGAGAUCUCUGAAUGGGGGAACCCACCUAGGAUAACCUAGGUAUCUUGUACUGAAUCCAUAGGUGCAAGAGGCGAACCAGGGGAACUGAAACAUCUAAGUACCCUGAGGAAAAGAAAUCAACCGAGAUUCCCUUAGUAGUGGCGAGCGAACGGGGAUUAGCCCUUAAGCUUCAUUGAUUUUAGCGGAACGCUCUGGAAAGUGCGGCCAUAGUGGGUGAUAGCCCCGUACGCGAAAGGAUCUUUGAAGUGAAAUCGAGUAGGACGGAGCACGAGAAACUU